CCCUAUGGGGUGCAAUAUCGGUCAUACGCUCAGCUCUCGAGUUCGACAUCGGUCAAAGAUGCCUUCCGUGAUGAUCUCGUCCAGACGGUUGAAGCCGUGGCGAAAUCUGCGGUAAUCGUGCCCAGCCCUGUAAUCGGAACAGUCACAACCGUAUCGGGUAAGAAAGGCAACGUCACCACAGAGCAGGGAUACGUCAUUCGGGACGUAAGGUAUCCGGCGAACUAAAUGCCCCUGCAAAGUAACGAUAAGGUCAUUAUCCGACAGGUGGGAGGCAGACCGACAGCAGUGAGGGUCCCCGAAGUGGCUCAAGGCGAUAAAGGGCUACGAUACCGGAGUAAUGGGCGUUACACCGCUGUCAAACUCGAAGAGGUAUCAACCUCCACCCAGGUGCUAGUCGAGCCAAUAAACGGCAGAUAUGUGGCCGUGCCGGUAGUUGGUGGCGGGGGGGC
rnacentral:rRNA from 1 species